CAAUAGCGUAUAUUAAUGUUGUUGCAGUUAAACAGCUCGUAGUUGGAUUUCUGGCCGGAGCGUUCGGUCCGCCCUCACGGGAUGGGUGUUAUCUGAUUGGAUUCUUUCUGGCCAUCCUUGGCGAGAGCGCGUUGGGCAUUAAGUUGUCCGGCGCGGGAUCGCCAUCAUUUACUGUGAAAAAUUAGAGUGUUUAAAGCAGGCGUUUGCUGUGAAUACAUUAGCAUGGAAUAAUAAGAUAGGACUUUGGUGCUAUUUUGUUGGUUUGUACACCGAGGUAAUGAUUAAUAGGGACAGUUGGGGUAUUCGUAUUUAAUUGUCAGAGGUGAAAUUCUUGGAUUUAUGAAAGACGAACUACUGCGAAAGCAUUUACCAAGGAUGUUUUCAUUAAUCAAGAACGAAAGUUAGGGGAUCGAAGACGAUUAGAUACCA
rnacentral:rRNA from 1 species